UGCGCUUGCGGAUCAUUUCCUGAUGGCAUUACCAAAUAUCAAUAAACAUUUCUGGCGCCGUUGCUGGGGAGAAAGACGGUCUGCUGAGAUAACUUUUAAUCUUGCUAUUAUCUUGUAUUAUACUUUUAUUCUUUUAUUCUUUUAUCUUUUUACUUUUUCCAUCUUUAUGCAUAACUCAAGUUCUACCCCUAUUAUUUAAUUCUUUGCACCUUCGGAGACCAGCCAUAGACCAUGGGAGUCAACAAGUCCUGCCCCUAAUUAUGAUCUGUGUCCGGAGUUGAUUGCAAUAGGUCAAAACCAACCCCUUUUAGCUACACCUAGGGAAUCUUUUAAUCUUUAUAUAAAUUCUGGUUU
rnacentral:lncRNA from 1 species